rnacentral:rRNA from 1 species
CGCGUAGGCGGAUGAUUAAGUCAGAUGUGAAAGCCCCGGGCUCAACCUGGGAACUGCAUUUGAGACUGGUCGUCUAGAGUACAGAAGAGGGGGGUGGAAUUCCAGGUGUAGCGGUGAAAUGCGUAGAGAUCUGGAGGAACAUCAGUGGCGAAGGCGACCCCCUGGGCUGAUACUGACGCUGAGGUGCGAAAGCGUGGGUAGCGAACA